rnacentral:rRNA from 1 species
AUUGGGUUUAAAGGGUCCGUAGGCGGGCCGAUAAGUCAGGGGUGAAAGUCUGCCGCUCAACGGUAGAACUGCCUUUGAUACUGUCGGUCUUGAGUUAUAGUGAAGUUGCCGGAAUAUGUAGUGUAGCGGUGAAAUGCAUAGAUAUUACAUAGAACACCGAUUGCGAAGGCAGGUGACCAACCAUAUACUGACGCUGAUGGACGAAAGCGUGGGGAGCGAACGGGAUUAGAUACCCCGGUAGUCCACGCCGUAAACGAUGGAUACUAGCUGUUGGGUUUUCGGACUCAGCGGCCAAGCGAAAGUGAUAAGUAUCCCACCUGGGGAGUACGUUCGCAAGAAUGAAACUCAAAGGAAUUGACGGGGGCCCGCACAAGCGGUGGAGCAUGUGGUUUAAUUCGAUGAUACGCGAGGAACCUUACCAGGGCUUAAAUGGGAGAUGACAGGAGCAGAGACGCUCUUUUCUCCGGACAUCUUUCAAGGUGCUGCAUGGUU